AACCAGGAUGUUGGCUUAGAAGCAGCGACUCAGUCAAAUAGGGCGUAAUAGCUCAAUGGUCGAGUGAUCCUGCGCCGCAGAUUUACGGGGCGAAAACUUACUACAGAAGCUAAGGCAUCAGUAGGGAGGGGUAGGGGAGCUUCCCAGACGGGUUGAAGCAUGACCGUAAGGAUAUGUGGAAAGUAUGGGAGUGAGAAUGUUGGCAUGAGUAGCGAGAUGUGGGUG
rnacentral:rRNA from 1 species